AGUGAACGCUGGCGGUAGGCCUAACACAUGCAAGUCGAACGGCAGCACAGUAAGAGCUUGCUCUUACGGGUGGCGAGUGGCGGACGUGUGAGGAAUACAUCGGAAUCUACUUUUUCGUUGGGGAUAACGUAGGGAAACUUACGCUAAUACCGCAUAUGACCUACGGGUGAAAGCAGGGGAUCUUCGCACCUUGCGCGAUUGAAUGAGCCGCUGUCGGAUUAGCUAGUUGGCCGGGUAAUGGCCCACCAGGGCGACGAUCCGUAGCUGGUCAGAGUGGAUGAUCGGCCACAUGAGAAGGUGGCCAGGGUCCUGGCGCCUACGGGAGGCAGCAGUGGGGAAUAUUGGGCAGUGGUCGCGAACCUGAUCCAGCGAGACCACGUGGGAUGAGAAGGCCUUCGGUUUGUGAAGACCGUUUGUGGGGAGAGAAAAGCAGCAGGUUAAUACCACGCGGGACUGACGGUACCGAGUGAAGAAGCACCGGCUAACUACGUG
rnacentral:rRNA from 1 species